UUGGUUCGAAUGGUUCUUUCUGGUGUAAAAAGAACUGAUUUGUGGGCUUCCGACUGCUUCGGCCUUCGAUGGAUUAUUUUGAUAGAUAAGAAUAUAAAUGGAAUAUAAAAAAAUCAAAUGCGAUAUUUAUUUUCGAUUUCUUUGCUUCCAGAUCCUCACAGUGAAAAGUUCAGUCGAGGGGUUUUCUCGGUGUUUCGCCCUUGUGGAUGCUUCCGUCUGUUCCCUCCUUCGCUGGAGCGUUUUUAUUGACAGUAAACAGUUAACUGCGAUUUCCCCGGAUUUCAGCUGACCAGCUGCUUCGUGGAUGCUUCCGUCGCUGGAGCGCUUAUACAUUGAUCGGGAGUCAACAUUGUAAAGCUUCCCCGAGAAAAUUUGUCUAUAGAUAGAAAAAAUGGAGAAUUUAUUGACACAAUUAGAUGAUGCCACAAAGCAAAAACUCGCAGGUAU